GACGAACGCUGGCGGCGUGCUUAACACAUGCAAGUCGAACGGAAAGGCCCCCUUGUGGGGUACUCGAGUGGCGAACGGGUGAGUAACACGUGAGUAACCUACCCUUGACUUUGGGAUAACUUCAGGAAACUGGGGCUAAUACCGGAUAGGAGCUCCUGCUGCAUGGUGGGGGUUGGAAAGUUUCGGCGGUUGGGGAUGGACUCGCGGCUUAUCAGCUUGUUGGUGGGGUAGUGGCUCACCAAGGCUUUGACGGGUAGCCGGCAUGAGAGGGUGACCGGCCACAUUGGGACUGAGACACGGCCCAGACUCCUACGGGAGGCAGCAGUGGGGAAUAUUGCACAAUGGGCGGAAGCCUGAUGCAGCAACGCCGCGUGCGGGAUGACGGCCUUCGGGUUGUAAACCGCUUUCGCCUGUGACGAAGCGUGAGUGACGGUAAUGGGUAAAGAAGCACCGGCUAACUACGUG
rnacentral:rRNA from 1 species